rnacentral:rRNA from 1 species
GAUCAUGGCUCAGGAUGAACGCUAGCGGCAGGCUUAACACAUGCAAGUCGAGGGGCAGCGGGAUGUAGCAAUACAUUGCCGGCGACCGGCGGAUGGGUGCGUAACGCGUAUGCAACCUACCUAUACAGGGGAAUAACCUUUCGAAAGGGAGACUAACACCCCAUAGUAUUGAUUUAAGGCAUCUUAGAUUAAUUAAAUAUUUAUAGGUAUAAGAUGGGCAUGCGUAUGAUUAGCUAGUUGGUAAGGUAACGGCUUACCAAGGCGACGAUCAUUAGGGGUUCUGAGAGGAAGGUCCCCCACACUGGUACUGAGACACGGACCAGACUCCUACGGGAGGCAGCAGUGAGGAAUAUUGGUCAAUGGGCGCAAGCCUGAACCAGCCAUGCCGCGUGCAGGAAAGACGGCCUUAUGGGUUGUAAACUGCUUUUACAUAAGACUAACCGUAUAUUUGCGAAUAUACCUGAAUGUAUUAUGGGAAUAAGGAUCGGCUAACUCCGUGCCAGCAGCUGC